UGGGGAAUCUUCCGCAAUGGACGAAAGUCUGACGGAGCAACGCCGCGUGUAUGAUGAAGGUCUUCGGAUUGUAAAGUACUGUCAUUGGGGAAGAACGGUUUUCUUGAGAAUAUUGAGAAGACAUGACGGUACCCAAGGAGGAAGCCCCGGCUAACUACGUGCCAGCAGCCGCGGUAAUACGUAGGGGGCAAGCGUUGUCCGGAAUUAUUGGGCGUAAAGGGCGCGUAGGCGGGCCUUUAAGUCCGGUGUGAAAGAUCAGGGCUCAACCCUGAGAGUGCAUCGGAAACUGGAGGCCUUGAGGACAGGAGAGGAAAGUGGAAUUCCACGUGUAGCGGUGAAAUGCGUAGAUAUGUGGAGGAACACCAGUGGCGAAAGGCGACUUUCUGGACUGUAACUGACGCUGAGGCGCGAAAAGCGUGGGGAGCAAACAGGAUUAGAUACCCUGGUAGUCCACGCCGUAAACGAUGAGUACUAGGUGUAGGAGGUAUCGACCCCUUCUGUGCCGCAGUUAACACAAUAAGUACUCCGCCUGGGAAGUACGAUCGCAAGAUUAAAAACUCAAAGG
rnacentral:rRNA from 1 species